UACGUAGGGACCGAGCGUUGUCCGGAAUCAUUGGGCGUAAAGAGCGUGUAGGCGGCCAGAUAAGUCCGCUGUGAAAACUCGAGGCUCAACUUCGAGCUGUCGGUGGAAACUAUUUGGCUAGAGUCCGGAAGAGGAGAGUGGAAUUCCUGGUGUAGCGGUGAAAUGCGCAGAUAUCAGGAAGAACACCCGUGGCGAAGGCGGCUCUCUGGUACGGAACUGACGCUGAGACGCGAAAGCGUGGGGAGCGAACAGG
rnacentral:rRNA from 1 species